AUAGAGGGAACAGGUGGAGAGGACUGGAGCAGUGGCUGAGAACACACAUCUUAAACCACAAGUGGGAAGCAGAGAGAAUAUCCUCAAAAUGGAAUUUUGAACAUUUAUCUGAUGCCUUAGUAAUAAAUCCAUUUCCUCCAUGGAAAAGAUGGUCUUUACUCAUUUAUGCAUGGACAGUGAAGUUCUUCUCUUCUUGAUGCAAAAUAUUGUCAUCUUCGGAUAAUUUUCCAAAUAUAAGUGAACCAGGACACCAGCUGAGAGCCAGUGUCUUCUGUAACUUACAAGCAAGAUACAUCUGUGAAGCCUCAGCAAUAGAGAUGAGUAAGCAUAACCUUGCACAAUAACAGCACCAGUUGACCUGCCACUGUGGAAGGGAGGUUUGGCUCUCUUCCGAAGCACAAGUAAAGAAGUGAGGUCUCUGAGGAAAUACAAGAGGCAAGAGGCAGGUGACAGAUCUGCAAGAAAAUCCCUAGGAAAAAAAUAGAACUGACUUUGUAAUCACAACAGCUACAGCCCUGGACCUUUGUGGCAAAUUACUCUAAAUGCAAAAAGGAAACAGGCAAUGAUAGGAAAAGAUAAUGUUCUGAGGCAGACAUUGGACUGAAGACCAGGAAGAAUGACGUCAGAUUUUCUUCCAUGAGAAAAGAAUCACUGACAUGGAUUCAGAUCAUCAUGGAGGAAAAAAUGUUAUGAAGAUGCUUUUACUAGACUUUAACAUAAUUGCAGCCUAGAAACAUCUGCUGCCUGCAGAAAACACACUGAAACAAUCUUGCUCCCAGAGAGUUUUGUUCAGGAACUGGAAUAGAAAGGUCCCCUAGGACUAAACCAUGUCACUUUCCUGCUUUUUACCCUAAUAGCCACAAUGGGGUUGAUCAUAACUUUGCAGCUCCCAAAAUGUGAAUGUGGCUUGAAGAGUUCUAUGGCCAUCUCAUCGACCAGAUCAUAAGAGGGCAAGGUUGUUUCUGAAAGAUGACAAUUUAAUAAUUUUGCCCAUUCUGUCCAUCAGCCCUCUCAGAAUGCACUUGCACACAUAUUUCAAUUACAAAUGGCAACAAAUGUACUAUAUUUUGCUACACUCUUUUGAUAAAAACAUUUUCAUUUUCUUUCCAAAUUUAACAAACAAAAAUUCCUACUGGUAAGUGUGCCUCCCUCUGGUAGACAAUUGCCUAUCUUUGUCUUAUGUUAAUUACACUUUCAAAUUU
rnacentral:lncRNA from 1 species